rnacentral:rRNA from 1 species
CACGUAGGCGGUUCUGUAAGUGGAGUGUGAAAGACCCUGGCUCAACCAGGGGCCCGCAUUCCAUACUGCAGAGCUAGAGGUCGAGAGGGGUGAGCGGAACUCCUGGUGGAGCGGUGAAAUGCGUAGAUAUCAGGAGGAACACCGGUGGCGAAGGCGGCUCACUGGCUCGAUUCUGACGCUGAGGUGCGAAAGCCAGGGUAGCGAACG